UGAUAAUAGUUAUACCCUCACGUCUCAAUACGCAUCACUUAUUGAUCCGAUAAUUUUUGAUCAACGGAACAAGUUACCCUAGGGAUAACAGCACA
rnacentral:rRNA from 1 species